rnacentral:rRNA from 1 species
AUUGAACGCUGGCGGCAUGCCUUACACAUGCAAGUCGAACGGCAGCACGGGUGCUUGCACCUGGUGGCGAGUGGCGAACGGGUGAGUAAUACAUCUGAACAUGUCCUGUAGUGGGGGAUAGCCCGGCGAAAGCCGGAUUAAUACCGCAUACGAUCUACGGAUGACAGCGGGGGACCGUCGGGCCUCGCGCUUUAGGGUUGGCCGAUGGCUGAUUAGCUAGUUGGUGGGGUAAAGGCCUACCAAGGCGACGAUCAGUAGCUGGUCUGAGAGGACGACCAGCCACACUGAGACUGAGACACGGCACAGACUCCUACGGGAGGCAGCAGUGGGGAAUUUUGGACAAUGGGCGAAAGCCUGAUCCAGCAAUGCCGCGUGUGUGAAGAAGGCCUUCGGGUUGUAAAGCACUUUUGUCCGGAAAGAAAUCCUUGGCCCUAAUACGGUCGGGGGAUGACGGUACCGGAAGAAUAAGCACCAGCUAACUACGUG